UACGAAGGGGGCUAGCGUUGCUCGGAAUCACUGGGCGUAAAGCGCACGUAGGCGGAUCUUUAAGUCAGGGGUGAAAUCCUGGAGCUCAACUCCAGAACUGCCUUUGAUACUGGGGAUCUCGAGUCCGGGAGAGGUGAGUGGAACUCCGAGUGUAGAGGUGAAAUUCGUAGAUAUUCGGAAGAACACCAGUGGCGAAGGCGGCUCACUGGACUGGUAUUGACGCUGAGGUGCGAAAGCGUGGGGAGCAAACAGG
rnacentral:rRNA from 1 species